rnacentral:rRNA from 1 species
GAGUUUGAUCAUGGCUCAGAUUGAACGCUGGCGGCAGGCCUAACACAUGCAAGUCGAGCGGAUGAAGGGAGCUUGCUCCUGGAUUCAGCGGCGGACGGGUGAGUAAUGCCUAGGAAUCUGCCUGGUAGUGGGGGAUAACGUCCGGAAACGGGACGCUAAUACCGCAUACGUCCUGAGGGAGAAAGUGGGGAUCUUCGGACCUCACGCUAUCAGAUGAGCCUAGGUCGGAUUAGCUAGUUGGUGGGUAAAGGCCGUACCAAGGCGACGAUCCGUAACUGGUCUGAGAGGAUGAUCAGUCACACUGGAACUGAGACACGGUCCAGACUCCUACGGGAGGCAGCAGUGGGGAAUAUUGGACAAUGGGCGAAAGCCUGAUCCAGCCAUGCCGCGCGUGUGAAGAAGGUCUUCGGAUUGUAAAGCACUUUAAGUUGGGAGGAAGGGCAGUAAGUUAAUACCUUGCUGUUUUGACGUUACCAACAGAAUAA